AGAACGAACGCUGGCGGCAGGCUUAACACAUGCAAGUCGAACGCCCCGCAAGGGGAGUGGCAGACGGGUGAGUAACGCGUGGGAACGUACCUUUCGGUUCGGAAUAGGCUCGGGAAACCGGGGUUAAUACCGGAUACGUCCUUAGGGAGAAAGAUUUAUCGCCGAAAGAUCGGCCCGCGUCUGAUUAGCUAGUUGGCGGGGUAAUGGCCCACCAAGGCGACGAUCAGUAGCUGGUCUGAGAGGAUGAUCAGCCACAUUGGGACUGAGACACGGCCCAAACUCCUACGGGAGGCAGCAGUGGGGAAUAUUGGACAAUGGGCGCAAGCCUGAUCCAGCCAUGCCGCGUGAGUGAUGAAGGCCUUAGGGUUGUAAAGCUCUUUCGGCGGGGACGAUAAUGACGGUACCCGCAGAAGAAGCCCGGCUAACUUCGCGCCAGCAGCCGC
rnacentral:rRNA from 1 species